UAGUUUAGAUCUAUACAUUUAAACACAAUUACUUCGGUCUCUUCUCUGUGGAGGAUAAGACAUUUUUGUACUUUGUGACUCCCCCUUUCUUCUGUUCAUCAUUUGUAUAAUCUAUGGGCUUUUGCCUUCAUUAUUUUUGAUUUAUUUUGCUCUACUUUUGUUUAAACAAUUACCCCAAUUAGUUAGAUAAUUCAGCAAAUAUCAGGCUCCCUUUUUCCCUUAAUUAUUCUUUCUGGUCCUAUCAGGAUCAACUCAUAUCAUUUCCUACUAACAUUUGCUUAUUUUUAAAAAGGAAAAAGAGAAAAGAGAAUUGGCUUUCCUGGACCCAUUCAUCAUUUCCUGUAUCACAUUUCUCAUCCAAGGAACCACACCCUGGGAUUUGGUGAGCUGGUUAAUACCCUGGGUGACUGUGCAGGAAAGAUGUCGGCACACAGUGGGACUGUACUUUCCUGUCCAGAAGACAUUAGGUGUGGUCAUGUGUCUCAUCUUGAUUGACAGAAGGGCAUUCUUGGGACCACUUUGUGACCUUUUAAUCCUAUGUCUAAAGAAGGACAACCACGGGCUUCCUACCUGGCUGUGGAGACUCCUGGAUAUAACAGCCAAGGCACUUCCCCUCUUCCAGUGGUUCUCAUCCCACCCCUAACCUAUUCCUCGCACAGGAGGCUUCCUGUCCCUUACCAGCUCAGUCUGUCUGUCUCUUCAAUCCGGGUCCUGAAAUUCACGUGAUCAUGUGGAAAAGAGAAAUGCCUCGGGAUGGAGAGGUGGACAAAUGGCGGUCCUCUGUAGUGGAUUCCUCUUUUCAGAAGUCCUCCAUCAGGCUGGCCUGGGUGCUUCUUGGCAACAGAUGGAACAGUAGGAUGAGAAAUGGGAUGAGUAGGCUUUUCUCAAGUCUCUGCAUAUGUCACAACUAUCAACAUCCUACUGAUCAAAAGUUGAUGGACUUGAUGCACAGCUGAAGAUGUGAAGUAUAAGGAGAAGCAAAGGGCUCCCUGUGACAAGUGGUCUCAUCUCAUCCUCUGCACCAGGGCUGGGGGUUGAACAGGACAGCACUACGUUGCAGGUUUGCUGCCUCCUGUGGUUGUGUGCCCCCUCUUCAUAUUAAAGCUUUUGCUCCUGGUAUCUCAGAUUAGACUGUAUUUGGAGAUAAAGUCUUUAAAGAGAUUGCAUUACUACGACGACGACGACGACGACGACGACUACUACUACUACUACUGCUGCUGCUGCUGCUGCUACUAUCAUCAUCCUCAUAUAAGUGAUUUGAGCAUUUCUCCCUCGAAAUGCUCCUGGAAAUUCUCCCCUCUUCUAUGUUCUACUGUUAUCCUGAGAAGCAGAUCCAGACUUCUGGCUGUACCCCUAAGUCACAAUGACCAUGAAAUGUGAGAGUUUUGAAUAAUUCAGGACACUGAGGCAACCAGGACAGCACCACUUAGGACACUCAUGAAAGAGGAAUUCCAGAACUACUUUAGAAAAUGUCAAGAAGGAUGAGAUAAAUGUGUUUGAAAUGGAGUGUUUUGAAAGGGAUUACUGGCAAUGU